rnacentral:misc_RNA from 1 species
GAUGAAGAACGUAGCGAAAUGCGAUACUUGGUGUGAAUUGCAGAAUCCCGCGAAUCAUCGAGUUUUUGAACGCAAGUUGCGCCCGAAGCCAUUCGGCCGAGGCACGUCUGCCUGGGUGUCACGCAUCGUUGCCCCCCCAAACUCCGGUUCGGGCAGGGCGGAAGUUGGCCUCCCGUGCGUGCCUGCGCGCGCGGUUAGCCCAAAAGCGAGUCCUCGGCGACGAGCGCCACGACAAUCGGUGGUUUUUUUACCCUCGUUCCUCGUCGUGCGUGCCCCGUCGCCCGAACGCGCUCUUGCGACCCUUACGCGUCGCCUCGGCGGCGCUCCCAACGCGACCCCAGGUCAGGCGGGACUACCCGCUGAGUUUAAGCAUAUCAAUAAGCGGAGGA